CCUACGGGAGGCAGCAGUGAGGAAUAUUGGUCAAUGGGCGGAAUCCUGAACCAGCCAAGUAGCGUGCAGUCUGACGGCCCUACGGGUUGUAAACUGCUUUUAUACGGGAAUAACGCGCCUUACGUGUAGGGCUUUGCAUGUACCAUAUGAAUAAGGACCGGCUAAUUCCGUGCUAGCAGCCGCGGUAAUACGGAAGGUCCGGGCGUUAUCCGGUUUUAUUGGGUUUAAAUGGAGCGUAGGCCGCAUGUCAAGCGUGCUGUGAAAUGUCCGGGCUCAACCCGGGCCUUGCAGCGCGAACUGGCGUGCUUGAGUCCGCGGAAAGCAGGCGGAAUUCGUCGUGUAGCGGUGAAAUGCUUAGAUAUGACGAAGAACCCCGAUUGCGAAGGCAGCUUGCUGCAGCGGAACUGACGCUGAUGCUCGAAAGCGCGGGUAUCGAACAGGAUUAGAUACCCUGGUAGUC
rnacentral:rRNA from 1 species